GACGAACCGUGCGAACGUUGUUCGGAUUCACUGGGCUUAAAGGGCGCGUAGGCGGGUGUUCAAGUCCGGGGUGAAAUCCUCCCGCUCAACGGGAGAACGGCCCUGGAUACUGGACAUCUCGAGGGAGGUAGGGGCGGGUGGAACUUCCGGUGGAGCGGUGAAAUGCGUAGAUAUUAGGAAGAACACCCGUGGCGAAGGCGGCACUCUGGGACGGUAUUGACGCUGAGACGCGAAAGCGUGGGGAGCGAACAGG
rnacentral:rRNA from 1 species